rnacentral:rRNA from 1 species
AUUGAACGCUGGCGGCAUGCCUUACACAUGCAAGUCGAACGGCAGCAUGGAGAGCUUGCUCUCUGAUGGCGAGUGGCGAACGGGUGAGUAAUGCAUCGGAACGUACCGUGUAAUGGGGGAUAACGUAGCGAAAGUUACGCUAAUACCGCAUACGACCUGAGGGUGAAAGCAGGGGAUCGCAAGACCUUGCGUUAUACGAGCGGCCGAUGUCAGAUUAGCUAGUUGGUGAGGUAAAGGCUAACCAAGGCGACGAUCUGUAGCGGGUCGGAGAGGAUGAUCCGCCACACUGGGACUGAGACACGGCCCAGACUCCUACGGGAGGCAGCAGUGGGGAAUUUUGGACAAUGGGGGCAACCCUGAUCCAGCCAUGCCGCGUGAGUGAAGAAGGCCUUCGGGUUGUAAAGCUCUUUCGGCCGGGAAGAAAUCGCACAGGCUAAUACUCUGUGUGGAUGACGGUACCGGCAUAAGAAGCACCGGCUAACUACGUGCCAGCCGCCGCAGUAA